rnacentral:rRNA from 1 species
UGAACGCUGGCGGUAGGCCUAACACAUGCAAGUCGAACGGCAGCACAGUAAGAGCUUGCUCUUACGGGUGGCGAGUGGCGGACGGGUGAGGAAUACAUCGGAAUCUACUUUUUCGUGGGGGAUAACGUAGGGAAACUUACGCUAAUACCGCAUACGACCUACGGGUGAAAGCAGGGGAUCUUCUGACCUUGCGCGAUUGAAUGAGCCGAUGUCGGAUUAGCUAGUUGGCGGGGUAAAGGCCCACCAAGGCGACGAUCCGUAGCUGGUCUGAGAGGAUGAUCAGCCACACUGGAACUGAGACACGGUCCAGACUCCUACGGGAGGCAGCAGUGGGGAAUAUUGGACAAUGGGCGCAAGCCUGAUCCAGCCAUACCGCGUGGGUGAAGAAGGACUUCGGGUUGUAAAGCCCUUUUGUUGGGAAAGAAAAGCAGCAGGUUAAUACCCCGCUGUUCUGACGGUACCCAAAGAAUAAGCACCGGCUAACUUCGUG